AUUGAACGCUGGCGGCAGGCAUAACACAUGCAAGUCGAGCGGAGCGGUGGCAGGGUGUGUAAUGCCUAGGAAUCUGCCCGGUAGUGGGGGAUAACGUCCGGAAACGGACGCCAAUUCCGCAUACUUUCUGCAGGGUUUAUGUCGGCUUAGCUAGUUGGUGGGGUAAAGGCCUACCAAGGCGACGAUCCGUAACUGGUCUGAGAGGAUGAUCAGUCACACUGGAACUGAGACACGGUCCAGACUCCUACGGGAGGCAGCAGUGGGGAAUAUUGGACAAUGGGCGAAAGCCUGAUCCAGCCAUGCCGCGUGUGUGAAGAAGGUCUUCGGAUUGUAAAGCACUUUAAGUUGGGAGGCGUUACCAACAGAAUAAGCACCGGCUAACUUCGUGCCAGCAGCCGCGGUAAUAC
rnacentral:rRNA from 1 species